AGAGUUUGAUCCUGGCUCAGGAUGAACGCCGGCGGUGUGCCUAAUACAUGCAAGUCGUACGCGUUGGCCCAACUGAUUUGAAGUGCUUGCACGGAUCUGACGUUGGUUUACCAACGAGUGGCGGACGGGUGAGUAACACGUAGGUAACCUGCCCAGAAGCGGGGGACAACACUUGGAAACAGGUGCUAAUACCGCAUAACAAUUCAAAUCGCAUGAUUUGAAUUUGAAAGAUGGUUUCGGCUAUCACUUCUGGAUGGACCUGCGGCGCAUUAGCUUGUUGGUGGGGUAACGGCCUACCAAGGCAGUGAUGCGUAGCCGAGUUGAGAGACUGAUCGGCCACAAUGGGACUGAGACACGGCCCAUACUCCUACGGGAGGCAGCAGUAGGGAAUCUUCCACAAUGGGCGCAAGCCUGAUGGAGCAACACCGCGUGAGUGAAGAAGGUUUUCGGAUCGUAAAGCUCUGUUGUUGAAGAAGAACGUGCAUGAGAGUAACUGUUCAUGCAGUGACGGUAUUCAACCAGAAAGUCACGGCUAACUACGUGCCAGCAGCCGCGGUAAUACGUAGGUGGCAAGCGUUAUCCGGAUUUAUUGGGCGUAAAGAGAGUGCAGGCGGUUUCUUAAGUCUGAUGUGAAAGCCUUCGGCUCAACCGAAGAAGUGCAUCGGAAACUGGGAAACUUGAGUACAGAAGAGGGCAGUGGAACUCCAUGUGUAGCGGUGGAAUGCGUAGAUAUAUGGAAGAACACCAGUGGCGAAGGCGGCUGCCUGGUCUGUAACUGACGCUGAGACUCGAAAGCAUGGGUAGCGAACAGGAUUUAGAUACCCUGGUAGUCCAUGCCGUAAACGAUGAGUGCUAGGUGUUGGAGGGUUUCCGCCCUUCAGUGCCGGAGCUAACGCAUUAAGCACUCCGCCUGGGGAGUACGACCGCAAGGUUGAAACUCAAAGGAAUUGACGGGGGCCCGCACAAGCGGUGGAGCAUGUGGUUUAAUUCGAAGCAACGCGAAGAACCUUACCAGGUCUUGACAUCCCUCUGACCGUCCUAGAGAUAGGAUUUUCCUUCGGGACAGAGGUGACAGGUGGUGCAUGGUUGUCGUCAGCUCGUGUCGUGAGAUGUUGGGUUAAGUCCCGCAACGAGCGCAACCCCUAUUGUUAGUUGCCAUCAUUGAGUUGGGCACUCUAGCGAGACUGCCGGUAAUAAACCGGAGGAAGGUGGGGAUGACGUCAAAUCAUCAUGCCCCUUAUGACCUGGGCUACACACGUGCUACAAUGGCUGGUACAACGAGUCGCAAGUCGGUGACGGCAAGCUAAUCUCUUAAAGCCAGUCUCAGUUCGGAUUGUAGGCUGCAACUCGCCUACAUGAAGUCGGAAUCGCUAGUAAUCGCGGAUCAGCACGCCGCGGUGAAUACGUUCCCGGGCCUUGCACACACCGCCCGUCA
rnacentral:rRNA from 1 species